rnacentral:rRNA from 1 species
CUCCUGGAAACGGGUGGUAAUGCCGGAUGCUCCGACUCCUCGCAUGGGGUGUCGGGAAAGAUUUCAUCGGUAUGGGAUGGGGUCGCGUCCUAUCAGGUAGUCGACGGGGUAACGGCCCACCGAGCCUACGACGGGUAGCCGGCCUGAGAGGGCGACCGGCCACAUUGGGACUGAGAUACGGCCCAGACUCCUACGGGAGGCAGCAGUGGGGAAUAUUGCACAAUGGGCGCAAGCCUGAUGCAGCGACGCCGCGUGCGGGAUGACGGCCUUCGGGUUGUAAACCGCUUUUGAUCGGGAGCAAGCCUUCGGGUGAGUGUACCUUUCGAAUAAGCACCGGCUAACUACGUGCCAGCAGCCGCGGUAAUACGUAGGGUGCAAGCGUUAUCCGGAAUUAUUGGGCGUAAAGGGCUCGUAGGCGGUUCGUCACGUCCGGUGUGAAAGUCCAUCGCUUAACGGUGGAUCUGCGCCGGGUACGGGCGGGCUGGAGUGCGGUAGGGGAGACUGGAAUUCCCGGUGUAACGGUGGAAUGUGUAGAUAUCGGGAAGAACACCAAUCGAAUUCCCGGGGCCGCCAGGCGGCGGACCUGGAGUCGGGCCAUUCGCCCAU